UCAGAAUCGGCAACAUGAGAGCUUGGCGAGGGGGAGGCAGCGCGUCUGCAACUGUCUGACAGAUAGGUGGAAUGCAGAGUGGAGCCAAUGAGUGACAUCGACGGUCACAGACGGAUUACAAUCUCAGCCCCAACUGGAUGCGAUUCAGCUGUGCUGGAGAAGCUGUGCCAGGGAAUUGGAUAUGACAUUUUCAGCAAUACUGCCUUAGUGCCUUUCUUCAGCUCCCCUUUCAACCUACCAACACACCAGGAACACAAGUGGACGGCUUUCUUGUGGUAUUGAUUUUUCUUUUCCAGAGAUGAAGCAACCAGCUUCCCAGGAGGUCUGUAUUGGAUUGCUAUUACAGUCCCCAAUACUGUGUUAUUUGGCCUUUUAGCCUUCUGUGGGCUACCUGAAUGAGACUAUAGCUUGUCCAAGGCACAGAUGUACAGAGGUGUUGGUGCUUGUUUCUGUGUAUACAACUCCCAUAAAAACAGUACAGAAGCUACACAUUUCUGACCUUUUGGCAUUUAACCCUACCUGUAUAAGGCUACCUUAUUGUCCAAGGAACAAUGGCAAAGAGGCACACUUGUUUCUACCACCUCCAACAACCUCUUCAGUAGCUACGGAGUAGUCUCCGACAUCUUGCUCGACUCCCGACAAAGACUAACCAGCACAAAGAAAGUUGGUGAUAAGACCUCUGUAAUAAGCGUGAUAUGAGGCGUCAGUGAACCUGAAAGGCACAGGGAAGGGGAGGUAAAGCACAGCUGUGUUCACAGUAAAGAUACAAUUACAUUUGUGGAGACUAAGCCAAGUGGAAACGGAGCCGCAGCAGCACCGCAAUUAUGGAGGAGCAGUCUAGCUGCUGCUCAUCACGCCACAAGGUGAUGAAAUACACAGUGAAUGCAAAUUGGCGUGGUUAGUAUGGUAAUGCACGUGGAUCACGUACCCGGUAGAGGGGUGCAAAGGGAGGGAGGGUCAGUGACAAUUAAGGCAGAUAAUUAGCCCAAGUCGUGAGCUGGAGUUACCAUGGCAUUGAUGGCUAUCUUUGUUAUGAGAGCUAACGCAAUGUAACUUUUUGCGUUAAGACAUCACGACGGCGCCUCAUCAUACAUCAGACAGGAAAAUGUGUGCGUGUUGAAAUGUGUGUUUGUCUUAUUUCCACUGUCCUCGUUCCCUGUCAGGCCUGUCACCGUGGUGCACCUGAUCCUGUGUAAAAGGCUAGUAAAGAAGCCCAGACUGGCAACAGGGGCGGACCACAGUUGAGGCUAAUGCCACUUUUCAUUUAGCAUCAUUACUCGGCUGCCAACUACUAAAGCAAUCUGUCUCUUACUGAGCUUCGUCUUAGAAUGAAUGAGAGAUACAGUUUAACACCAUUAAUACUCCACUGGAAUUCAUCAUCUUCUCUUCUUGAAGAAGGCAUGAAUCAUGACCAACAGAACCAAGAGCCUAUACAGCAACUGAUGUGUAACGUCUGACACAAAGAAUACUACUGAAGAAAAUCAAAAAAUAAAAUAUAUAAUAUGACAUUUUGGACCUGAAAAGAAGCUGGCAAAUGAAUUAUUAUACC
rnacentral:lncRNA from 8 species